CACGGAGGGUGCAAGCGUUAUUCGGAAUUAUUGGGCGUAAAGGGCGCGUAGGCGGCCGAUCAGGUCAGAUGUGAAAGCCCGGGGCUUAACCCCGGAAGUGCAUUUGAAACCGGUUGGCUUGAGUAUGGGAGAGGAGAGCGGAAUUCCUGGUGUAGAGGUGAAAUUCGUAGAUAUCAGGAGGAACACCGGUGGCGAAGGCGGCUCUCUGGACCAAUACUGACGCUGAGGCGCGAAGGCGUGGGUAG
rnacentral:rRNA from 1 species